AACGAACGCUGGCGGCGUGGAUAAGACAUGCAAGUCGAACGGGACAUUAUUUGUAGCAAUACAGAUGAUGUUCAGUGGCGCAAGGGUGCGUAACACGUGAGCAACCUGCCUUGAAGUGGGGGAUAGCUCGCCGAAAGGCGAAUUAAUACCGCAUGUGGUAGCAAUACUAAAGCCGGGGCAACCUGGCGCUUCUUGAUGGGCUCGCGGCCUAUCAGCUAGUUGGUGAGGUAAUAGCUCACCAAGGCUAUGACGGGUAGCUGGUCUGAGAGGAUGAUCAGCCACACUGGGACUGAGACACGGCCCAGACUCCUACGGGAGGCAGCAGUGGGGAAUAUUGGACAAUGGGGGCAACCCUGAUCCAGCCAUACCGCGUGUGUGAAGAAGGCCUUCGGGUUGUAAAGCACUUUCAGUGGGGAGGAAAAGUUGCCGGCGAAUACCCGGCGACCGUGACGCUACCUGCAGAAGAAGCACCGGCAAACUCCGUGCCAGCAGCCGCGGUAAUACGGAGGGUGCGAGCGUUAAUCGGAAUUACUGGGCGUAAAGCGCGCGUAGGCGGUUUGGUAAGCUAGAUGUGAAAGCCCUGGGCUCAACCUGGGAACUGCGUCCAGAACUGCCAAGCUAGAGUAUGGUAGAGGGCAGUGGAAUUUCCGGUGUAGCGGUGAAAUGCGUAGAGAUCGGAAGGAACACCAGUGGCGAAGGCGACUGCCUGGACCAAUACUGACGCUGAGGUGCGAAAGCGUGGGGCGCAAACAGGAUUAGAUACCCUGGUAGUCCACGCCGUAAACGAUGUCAACUAGCCGUUGGGCUCCUUGAGGGUCUAGUGGCGCAGCUAACGCGAUAAGUUGACCGCCUGGGGAGUACGGCCGCAAGGUUAAAACUCAAAUGAAUUGACGGGGGCCCGCACAAGCGGUGGAGCAUGUGGUUUAAUUCGAUGCAACGCGAAGAACCUUACCAGGCCUUGACAUCCCCGGAACUUGGCAGAGAUGCCUUGGUGCCUUCGGGAACCGGGUGACAGGUGCUGCAUGGCUGUCGUCAGCUCGUGUCGUGAGAUGUUGGGUUAAGUCCCGUAACGAGCGCAACCCUUGUCCUUAGUUGCCAGCGCGUAAUGGCGGGAACUCUAAGGAGACUGCCGGUGACAAACCGGAGGAAGGUGGGGAUGACGUCAAGUCAUCAUGGCCCUUACGGCCUGGGCUACACACGUGCUACAAUGGCCGGUACAGAGGGUUGCCAACCCGCGAGGGGGAGCUAAUCCCAGAAAACCGGUCGUAGUCCGGAUCGGAGUCUGCAACUCGACUCCGUGAAGUCGGAAUCGCUAGUAAUCGCGAAUCAGAAUGUCGCGGUGAAUACGUUCCCGGGCCUUGCACUCACCGCCCGU
rnacentral:rRNA from 1 species